UUCCCACCCACUUGCCUCCCCCGUCCCCCCCCACCCCCCUCACCCCCAAGACAGACAGCCGUCGGGAGCGGGGAAACGUCUUUCGAGGGGGCUUUCCUCCCGCCAGGAGGGGUGAGGAGUCGGGGCUUAGCCUGUAGGCCUCAGGGGUACUCGAGAUUGGGCCAAGAGAGGGAGAGGCGUGCUCACGUCCCAUGGGGCUCGGGUACGAGGGGUGGGCAUGGCCCUCCCCGCGCCGUGCAUCGCCUCCCGCGCCACCCCCAGCUGUCGGUAUGAGGAACGCUAUUCCUACCGAGGCCGAUGGUAAAUUUAAGAGGCCUCUGGGAGGUCAGCAUCGGGGCUGGAGGGGACAGAGGGCAUGGGGAAGAGUCUUCUUGGGGAAGAUGGGCUCUGCUGGCGGCCAGCCCCCGUGAAGAACAUUGCUGAGCGCUGCUGCUGAAUAGCCGGCGGUGCUCGGCACUCCGGGGCGCAGGAGGGCAAUGAGCGGCAGCUGCCCCCUCUGCCACAUCUGUGUCCGAGGGUCUGGGGUCGCACUAUCUGGAUCCGGACCUCCUCGAAACUUUCAUUGCUGCAGAUAUACCGAUAGCCUUUGCAGUUCAUUGACCGGACCUUUAUCUGGUCAUAUUCUCCCAAAUUUGUUGGCAUCGGUACCGGGCGGGCACCUCCCCACGGUUGUGACUGCGACAUCCAUCACAACUUGUGCGCGAUUUGCAUGCAGGAUAGCAUGAUUCCAAGCCUUCUUCCGUCUGUAAUGCCAAUGACGACACAUAUUAUUUGCCAUACAGUUAUUUGGAGCAGAGUGUGUCAACCAGACUGUGAUUUCUGUGGGGUUUUUGCAAGUUUUGUUAAGCAGAAUGAAAAUAGGCCAACAGUGAUAUUUUUCAACAUACUUCUGGAUGUUUAUACCUUUUAUAUAUUAUACCACAAAGCCCAAAUAAUGUAAUAAGAAGUUGAGUUUAUGAUACCGAAUUAUGUAUAUAUAUAUAUAUAUUUCAAUAUAUAAUAAUAUAUAUAUAUAUUUCACUAUAUAUGUCAAUAUAUUAUUAUAUAUAUAAAAUAUAUUCUAUAUAUAUUAUAUAUAUAUAGAAUAUAAUAUAUUAUAUUAGUAGAAUAUAUAUAUAUUCUACUAAUAUGAAAAUAAAUAUAGCAUAAACAGAAAAAAGUGUUUUGAGUAUCAUAUAAAACGUUCACAAAUUGUCUUUAGUUUCUACCGAUUAUGGUUUUAUAUGAAGUUAUUAAUAUAACAGAAGCAGCUAAGCCAGACCACGUUAGAAUUCCUGUUAUCCUUGAAUGAUGCAAUUUAUUUCAACGAAUGCAGAAAUAUUUUAUUUUUUUCAAAACAAAAAACUAAAAUAUAUUAGAACUGACUUCAUUUUACAAUGAGAAGAGUUGGCAUUAUCUUUACCUGAAGCAGAUGAAAAAGAAGGAAACUCUUGAAUUUAUGUGGUUGGAGGUUUUUUUUUUCCCCUCCUUACCCAGUUUAUCAUUACUGCUUUUAAUUACAUGUACUCACUUUCUCGUAUGGACCAUGGUUUUUCAUCUCUCUGCAUGUUUUUGAAAACAGUCAAGCGCAGGUUUUCUUCUCCACCAGUUAUUUGGGUUGGGGCUGAUUUUUUUUGGUAUUUUUGUUUUGUUUGCUUUUUUUCUUUUAUUGUUGUUUUGGUUUUGGGGGUUUGUUUGUUUGCUUUGUGCGUGUGGUAGGGAUUAAAGAAAAUUGCUUUUGACUUCAGAAAUCACCUAAGUUCUUUCUGGGUAGGUCAGCCCCAUGCAUGAUCUACUAUAGAACUCUAAGAAUUCAGGGGGGAUAAAAAGCAGAUUGUUAGAUAGGAAAUCAUCAAAUUGGUUCUAAAGACAUUGAAAUUGGUGCACCGAUUUUUAAGGAGUGAGAAUUUGGCCCAGUUGUUUAAGCUACAAGGAUACGUGGAUGCUUGUUUUAAAAUGUAGAUCUCAAAUUUAUCUCUUUUUAACUUAUGUAUACAUUAUCUCCUUCUCAAAGGAUUUUGAAGGGACAGGAAAUCUGCUGAAGUUAACCUAGUUUAUUUCCAAAUUUAUUAGUGUUCCAGCCAUGCAGUUGUAUGGAACAUAAUUAUCAGAUUAAAAAGUUGUGCUAAGAACCUGAAACCAUACAAUCAGAGAUGAAGCGCUUAAAAUCCUUCUUAAUUAAUCUGGUCAAGGGAAUGGUUAGUUCUACUUCCGUCUUUCCUCUAAUGGUUUUCUCUUCUCAAAACUCUCAUCGUGAAAUAGCACACCUGGACUUCUAACCAUAAGAGUAGGACAUUCUGAAAACUGUGGCACUUUCUGAAGAGAGUUCGACUUUAAACGGGACACACUCGUGGUCCUCUGCCCCAGACAUAAUCACUUCAAAUGCAUCGUAAAUAUUAAAUGUAAUAUUUUUUCUUUAGUUAUUUAAACAGCUCAAAGUCGACUCCAGUCCUGCAAGUGCUACUCAGCCAAAACUUCUGUUAUGGAGAAGGGACACUUUUUCUGGUGGAGAAUGGAACAUUUCUCAGAAACUAGGAUAGAAAGUUUUCUGUUCCUGUUUUCCAUUUCUUUGGAAAUUGAGUCCUUUUUUUUUUUUUUUUCCCUUUUCAAACUCUGAGCAGAAUGUUAUUUAAAAAUGUACUUAAGUAAUAAAACGAGAAGUUCUGAACACGUUUUGGCUUGGCACGUUUAAAAUAUGAUAAGAUCCCACUCCCACUGGAGUCCAACCCAAACCAUCCUAUGAUCCUGUGAUUCCGUGAUUCUAAGAUUCUGUAAUUCUACGACUGGGAAGUCCGGCUUGCGCACUGGGACCCGGGACGCGCCGUCGGGAGGGACAUAGUGAAUUUUCUUUCCCUUUUAACGCCUAUAUGAACAACUACACUCGCUAAAGACCAAGGGGUUGGAAAUUAUCUUAAGGAGUAGUUCAACCCACAGUGAUCGUGGGCCUGUGACCCAGGAUCCAACAGGAGCUGGGAUUCAACUGUGUGUAGGAGCAAACUUGAAACCCUCAUGUAGGUGUCACACCCCAACGCAUGAAUUAGGCGUCCCUGUGUGUCGGCAGGCACCCCCGUAACCUGCAGCACACAAGCCUCUGAUUCUGUGUAAAGGUAGAUGCUAGUGAGAAGGGAGGACUUUUGUCACAGACGCAAAGUGGCUUUGAGGAAGAGUUUGCAGGCACAAUCCCUAACAGGUGAGGAAACUCAUCCUGCGAGGAUAGCUUCCCCCCAGACAUAACUGCACGUUGCUUCUUUGCUCCUGCUCCAGAAAAAAUAACCUUUACUUCAUGGGCAGAUUGUCCAAAGGGACGGGAAGGAGAGCAGAACGCAGGGACACAGCUCCCACAGUGGGGAAAACUCUCUUUGCUGUGGUUUGCCGGGAUACAGCACCAUCCAGAGAAAACUUUAGUGCAGGAUGAUGGAGACCCCGCCUGCUUCCUAGCUGUCAACGGGACCCCAUGUCCACGCCGCCACCGCCAGAGAACUUCACCAAGUAAAAACUGCAGGGUUAGGGGAAACCACUACAAAAACCUGUAUUUUUUGGCAUCUGCCCCCACUCCCUCCGGCUAGGUUAAUAUCGUGUUUUCAUCAGGAUGCAAUAGUUUCUGCCUGGCUUUCAAGUGUCCUGAGCAGAUUGAUGCCUGCAUCUCACUCAUCUGGUGCGGGGGGAGAUGCAAUACCCUGCCCGCAAACAACCAACCUCCAAAUGGUAUAUGACACUAUACCUGGUGUUAUUACCAUUAUGAAUAUGAUUAUUAAUAAUCAUCGCUUGCAUUGUUACUAAAAGAAAGGUCGAAAUAAACAACCUGUGGAGGUAGAGUGGCGUACUCUGUGCCGGCGGCGAUCCCUCGGGAUGCCUCCGGGGGAUCGGGCGGCGCGGGGGGGAGCCGCGGAUGAGCUGCGGCGCUGCCGCCCCCUGGCGCGCAUCCUCGGGGAUCCUGCACCACCACCCCCGCCGCCUCGCUGUGGGGCAAGAAAUGCGGCAACGUGCGAAUAGGCAGGAAAAAUAGUGUUAGGAACGAUAAGGUACGCGGCGGCGACGCGGGAGAGAGAGCAAGUGCAGCCUCACCACCGUCCAUGUCCGCGCUUUGCAAGGAAAAAACAAAAAUCGAAGGGUAUGCAGUGCUUCUGUCAGCUGGGUCCUCUCUAUACCGACCUACACAACCCCAUGGAAGUUCUGCUGCUGUCCAGAGAAAGAGGUGAAGGUUUGAAUCUCUGUACAAGGGAAAGCUUUCCUUUCCCUCCUUUGUGAAGCACAACCUGAGAGUUCUCACCAGUCAUCCCUUUAGUCACUGGUCACCAACUCUCACUUGCAUCAGAAAGCACAAUCAGAACUAACCCUUGAAGGGAAAUGCAUGUUUAUGAAUGAACAUUAGCUUUCUUGUGUGUAACAGACACUCCCCAGUGACAGAGUUUUGCUGCUACUGAGCCUAAAACAAAAACCGGUAGAUUGGUAGAAAACUGCUAUUUAAGGUAUCAGCUGAUCCAUUUCAAAACUGUUUUCACUGUGGCUCUGAUAAAGAAUUAGGGUCUUAGUUUUGCUGGCAGACCCUGCUUCUUACACAGCCUGUUGUGGUGUAUUUUUCUUUAUUUUGAUAUUUGUUCAGCGUCUGUUCACCCCUCCUCCCUAAUCUCCUCCCUCCCUCAGUUGUCAAUCUUCUCAAGCUCUUCCCUAACCCCCUCCUCUCCAAGUUGUCAAUCCUCCCUUCUCCUCCCCCUUUCCCCAGAACAUUCCCUGUCAUUCCUCCUCACCCCCUCCCUUGCUUCCAGAGCAUUCCCUGUCCAUUUAGUGAGGCUCAACACCCUAUUGGUUACUUUGUAUUAUUCCACUCCCCUGUUUCCCCUGAUAGGUUUGUGCUAUGCUAGUCCCUCCUUAGACUCCUCCCCAGGCCCUACCCUCAUUGGUUCUUAUACCCCUCCUCUUGAGUUCCUGUAUAAAACCUUUGUUCGGCCUCCCCGGAGGGUCUUGGGGCUCGCGUAAUAAAACCGUCCUGUUCACCCCCAAGUCCCGUGUUGCCUCCGUCUGUCCCCGCGGCGACAACUGGGAAUGCAGAGCUUCACAAGGGGAGCGGCCACCCUUUCUCUUCCCUCUCACUGCCCAGCACGCCACCGCUCGGGGUAUCGCGGUUAGAGGAGCUGCUCGCGCGUUACAACAGCCCUUUUGCUUUGCUUGUGAUGAAACAAAAGAUUUUCCAGAGAUCACUUGAACUAACAAAAUGAAUGUAUCAAAAAUGAAUGUA